AGAAAUUAAAUCUCCUCCAAAAUAUUCUCUCUCUAGAAAGCUUGAAUAAGAAGAAAAUGAUUCAACAUAGGGUUUCAAGCUAAGAUUUCAAUUACUCCAUUGAAAUAAGCAAUUGGACUUGAGGUAUGGUCGCUUUCAUCCAUGAAAUCUCUUACAUUCAUGAAGUCCUCAAAUUCCUCUAUUCCAAAAGGUAGAAUUCCCCAAUUAGCUAGGGUUUUCUUCAAUCGCCAUGGAUUCUGUUGAUUAUUUAUGUUAAUGAUUGAAUUAUGUUUAAAUAUGCAUGAAUUGAUGAUUUACAAUGCUUUUAUGAUGUUUUCCCUAUGAACCCAUGCAAACCCCCAUGUUUUCCCAAAUUGUGAUCAUAUGAUGUGGGUUGUUGAUUAUGAAAGAGUAAUUUUAUGAUCCAAAGCAUGAAGUAAUAUAAUUACAUGAAUUUUUGAUAAAAUUUCUAUCUAAACCAUGAUUUCUAUAUUUUGUGAUUGAAAGUAAACUUUGAAUCUUGAAUGGGCAAAGUAUGAGUUUAUGCAUGAUCUUCUGAAACCUAUGCAAAUGUUAAAGGGUGAUUUGAGAGUAAAGUGUCAAAUGAUAAUGUUUUAUGUUGUGUUGUGAAAGACUACUCUCAUAAACACACACUAGCAUGAUGUACAUAGAAAAUAUUCUUAGGAUAACGAGUAUAUAUAUGUAAGAAAAUAUUGUUCCAUGGAAGUUAUGGUUAACACACCAAGUGGAUAUUGACAUUGAAAUAGGAGCUCUCCGUUAAAAGAGGUCAGGUUUCUAGAAGAAGUCCCAUGAGAUGGAAGAUCUCCCGUCAGUAUACUCCGGUUUCUAGUAUCAAUAUCCUCAUUUCAUAAAUUAAGUGCCCUCAUAGGAUGAUUAGCUAGUUCAUCCACUUACGCUGCUAAAAGUUCUUGCUUUUACAUUAGGCAAGUAGAACAAUUCUUUUUGGUUUGGGGGACAUCAGGUGAUGAUGUUAUAGUUCCCAUGGUCUCUAAGUUGAUUAAGGAUAAUUUUCCACAACAAGAUUAUAGUGAACUAAGGUUACAGAAGAAAUAUCUCAUAUGUGUUUAAAGUGUUAUUUAGCUUACAUUGACCAUGAUAUUAUGACUUAUGUUAUCUUUACCUUUUUAUAUUAUGUUUUACAUAGUCAAUUGCAUGUUAUGGAAUGAAAUGUAUCUUUUAGCAUAUAUUAAAUGUUUUAAUACAUAACUAUCAUACUUAGUGCAUUUUUUUACUAACACAUACUUUUCCCUACAUUUUCUCCAAAUGUUGGGUUCGAUAGACAGGGUUCCCAUUUUAGUGGCAAGAUCUUGGACUUUGAUUAUUUCACGACUCAAAAACACUCAUGAUGACACUUGGCAAUUCCAACCAAUACAAGUGAGAAUCAAUCCAAAACCUACCGUUGCCAUCCAUAAGGACCACUGAUGGUCCUUAGGUUUAUCCACGUACCGUAAGUAGGGUUCGUGAUUGGCCAUUCAAAAAGUUGUCCAGGCUUAGGACCACGACUAGACCUACGGACCAUAGAGGUCCACAAUCCGUGGUUUUGACCCCCAAAGAUCAGUUCCUAGACCACCUAACUACAAAUGUGCUGGACAGACCGUAGGUCCAUCCGCGAUCCGUGAUAGUGGUGUCGUGUGGGUCACUGUUUGACAGUUAUUUUUAGGGGCAGUUAGAUCUUUUCCUAAUUAAUUAAUUAAUUCCUAUGCCAUAUCAUUUUGCCUAUAUUUAGAACCCCUAUAUAAGCCUUUUUACAUUAAAUUCACCAUAUUUAAUUCAUUCUUCCAACUUUCACUAAAGAAAUCAAAUCUCCUCCGAAAUAUUCUCUCUCUUGAAAGCUUGAAGAAGAAGAAAAUGAUUCAACAUAGGGUUUCAAUCUAAAAUAUGAAUUACUCCAUUGAAGAGAAGCAAUUGGACUUGUGGUAUGGUAGGUUUCAUCCAUGAAAUCUCAUACCUUCAUGGAGUCCCCAAAUCCCUCUAUUCCUAAAGGUAGAAUUCCCUAGUUAGGUAGGGUUUUCUUCAAUCGCCAAGGAUUCUUUUCAAUAUUUAUCUUAAUGAUUGAAUUAUGUUUACAUAUUCAUGAAUUGGUGAUUUACAAUGCUUUUUUGAUGUUUUACUUAUGAACCCAUGCAAGCCCCCAUGUCAUAUGAUGUGAGUUGUUGAUUAUGAAAUUGGAAUUUUAUGAUCCAAAGAAUGAAGUAAUAUAAUUACAUGAAUUUCUGAAAAAAUCCCUAUCUAAACCAUGAUUUCUAGAAUUUGUGAUUGAAAGUAAACUUUGAAUCUUGAAAACUUUGAAUCUUGAAUGGGCAAAGUAUGAGUUUAUGCCUGAUCUUAUGAAACCUAUGCGAAUGUUAAAGGGUGAUUUGAGAGUUAAGUGUCAAAUAAUGAUGUUUUAUUUUAUGUUGUGAAAGACUAUCCUCAUAAACACACACUAGCAUGAUAUACAUAGAAAGGAUUCUUAGGAUAACGAGUAUAUAUAAGUAAGAAAAUAUUGGUCCAAGGAAGUUAUGGUUAACACACCAAGUGGAUAUUGACAUUGAAAUAGGAGCUCUCCCGUUAAUAGAGGUCGGGUUUAUAGAAGAAGUCUCAUUAGAUGGAAGCUCCCCCGUUAGUGUACUCCGGUUUCUAAUAUCAAUAUCCUCAUUUCAUAAAUUAAGUGCCCUAAUAGGAUGAUUAGCUAGUUCAUCCACUUAAGCUGCUAGAAGUUCUUGCUUUUACCUUAGGCAAGUAGAACAAUUCUUUUUGGUUUGGGGGACAUCAGGUGAUGAUGUUAUAGUUCCCAUCGUCUCUAAGUUGAUUAAGGAUAAUUUUCCACAACAAGAUUAUAGUGAACUAAGGUUACAGAAUAAAUAUCUCAUAUGUGUUUAAAGUUUUAUUUAGCUUGCAUUGACCAUGAUAUUAUGACUUGUGUUAUAUUUACUUUUUUAUGUUAUGUUUUACUUAGUCAAUUGCAUGUUAUGGAAUGAAAUGUCUCUUUUAGCAUAUUUUAAAUGUUUUAAUGCAUAACUAUCAUACUUAGUGCAUUUUUUACCAACACAUACUUUUCCCUACAUUUUCUCCAAAUGUAGGGUCCGAUAGACAGGAUUCCCAUUUUAGUGGCAAGAUCUUGGACUUUGAUUCUUUCCCGAGCUUGAUAAGUCUACUCGAAGGGCUUACUCUAAAAAGAAUGUGAGGAAGAAUUUGGAACAUGAAGCUCCUCCUCAUUCUUUGGUCGAUCCCUUGGCCGAACAAGUUACAAAUGCGGAGUUUAGAUUGAAUUUUUAAGUGUUGGCUCAAGCCGUGACGUCCCAAGCCAAUAGAGAGGUGGUAGUUCCUGUGAAGGAAGAACUUCUUACACUAGUAAAGUGUUUGAUGAAAUAUCAGAAAUAAUUAAGUAAUUUUCUGUUUUAAAUGUUAAGAUGAUAUUACUUUUGGAUAACUGAUCUUGCACAUGAUUUAUGCACCUAUGUACAUCUUUAAAAUAAUGUAAACAAGCCUUAACAGGAA